rnacentral:rRNA from 1 species
AUUGAACGCUGGCGGCAUGCCUUACACAUGCAAGUCGAACGGUAACGCGGGGCAACCUGGCGACGAGUGGCGAACGGGUGAGUAAUAUAUCGGAACGUGCCCAAUAGUGGGGGAUAGCCCGGCGAAAGCCGGAUUAAUACCGCAUGAGACCUGAGGGUGAAAGCGGGGGAGUCGCAAGACCUCGCGCUAUUGGAGCGGCCGAUAUCAGAUUAGGUAGUUGGUGGGGUAAAAAGCCUACCAAGCCGACGAUCUGUAGCUGGUCUGAGAGGACGACCAGCCACACUGGGACUGAGACACGGCCCAGACUCCUACGGGAGGCAGCAGUGGGGGAAUUUUGGACAAUGGGCGCAAGCCUGAUCCAGCCAUGCCGCGUGCGGGAAGAAGGCCUUCGGUUGUAAACCGCUUUGUCAGGGAAGAAAUCUUCUGGGCUAAUACCUCGGGAGGAGUGACGGUACCUGAAGAAUAAGACACCGGCUAACUACGUG